rnacentral:rRNA from 1 species
AGAGUUUGAUCAUGGCUCAGAUUGAACGCUGGCGGCAGGCCUAACACAUGCAAGUCGAACGGUAACAGGAAGCAGCUUGCUGCUUCGCUGACGAGUGGCGGACGGGUGAGUAAUGUCUGGGAAACUGCCUGAUGGAGGGGGAUAACUACUGGAAACGGUGGCUAAUACCGCAUAACGUCGCAAGACCAAAGAGGGGGACCUUCGGGCCUCUUGCCAUCAGAUGUGCCCAGAUGGGAUUAGCUAGUUGGUGAGGUAACGGCUCACCAAGGCGACGAUCCCUAGCUGGUCUGAGAGGAUGACCAGCCACACUGGAACUGAGACACGGUCCAGACUCCUACGGGAGGCAGCAGUGGGGAAUAUUGCACAAUGGGCGCAAGCCUGAUGCAGCCAUGCCGCGUGUAUGAAGAAGGCCUUCGGGUUGUAAAGUACUUUCAGCGGGGAGGAAGGUGUUGUGGUUAAUAACCACAGCAAUUGACGUUACCCGCAGAAGAAGCACCGGCUAACUCCGUGCCAGCAGCCGCGGUAAUACGGAGGGUGCAAGCGUUAAUCGGAAUUACUGGGCGUAAAGCGCACGCAGGCGGUCUGUCAAGUCGGAUGUGAAAUCCCCGGGCUCAACCUGGGAACUGCAUUCGAAACUGGCAGGCUUGAGUCUUGUAGAGGGGGGUAGAAUUCCAGGUGUAGCGGUGAAAUGCGUAGAGAUCUGGAGGAAUACCGGUGGCGAAGGCGGCCCCCUGGACAAAGACUGACGCUCAGGUGCGAAAGCGUGGGGAGCAAACAGGAUUAGAUACCCUGGUAGUCCACGCCGUAAACGAUGUCUACUUGGAGGUUGUGCCCUUGAGGCGUGGCUUCCGGAGCUAACGCGUUAAGUAGACCGCCUGGGGAGUACGGCCGCAAGGUUAAAACUCAAAUGAAUUGACGGGGGCCCGCACAAGCGGUGGAGCAUGUGGUUUAAUUCGAUGCAACGCGAAGAACCUUACCUGGUCUUGACAUCCACAGAAGAAUCCAGAGAUGGAUUUGUGCCUUCGGGAACUGUGAGACAGGUGCUGCAUGGCUGUCGUCAGCUCGUGUUGUGAAAUGUUGGGUUAAGUCCCGCAACGAGCGCAACCCUUAUCCUUUGUUGCCAGCGGUUAGGCCGGGAACUCAAAGGAGACUGCCAGUGAUAAACUGGAGGAAGGUGGGGAUGACGUCAAGUCAUCAUGGCCCUUACGACCAGGGCUACACACGUGCUACAAUGGCGCAUACAAAGAGAAGCGACCUCGCGAGAGCAAGCGGACCUCAUAAAGUGCGUCGUAGUCCGGAUUGGAGUCUGCAACUCGACUCCAUGAAGUCGGAAUCGCUAGUAAUCGUGGAUCAGAAUGCCACGGUGAAUACGUUCCCGGGCCUUGUACACACCGCCCGUCACACCAUGGGAGUGGGUUGCAAAAGAAGUAGGUAGCUUAACCUUCGGGAGGGCGCUUACCACUUUGUGAUUCAUGACUGGGGUGAAGUCGUAACAAGGUAACCGUAGGGGAACCUGCGGUUGGAUCACCU